rnacentral:misc_RNA from 1 species
GCGCACCGUAAUAUAUCUGUGUGUAUAUACAUGCAUACAUAUGUAUGUGUAUACGUAUAUUAUAUCCACCGUUCUCUGAAAAUCAAAAUCAGUCAGUCAGUCCAGCGUUGGUCGCCGACCAGGGCGCCAAUCCAACUGCGACGAUAAACCUCUGCAUCGUCUGCACGUUUUAAGAUGGGUGCAGCAGCAAAACUUCUUCUACACUCAAUUGGUAGCAGCGGUAGCAGCGGCAGCAGCACUAGAAGUAGAAGCGGUAGCAGCAGCAACGGCAGGAGCAACAGUAAAAGCACUAAGAGAAUCUUCGCAAUGCAGUCUCGAUGAUCUCGUUAUCAACUUACACUAUUACUAUUCAUCUAAUUAUCGCUGCUCGUGAUUCAUUUUAUACAAACAAACAAAUAAACAAACAAACAAAAAUAAAUAAAUAAAUAAAUCAAUCAAUGAAAAGCAAAAGAAAAAAAAAUUACAACAAAAUAAAGUAAUAGAAAAUAAAACAAACGAAUAAAAGAAUAAUUAUUAGAAGAAAAAUGAAAUGAAAUAAAACAAAACUAAUUAAAAUAAAUAAAGGUAAAUAGAUUGAAUUAUGUAUAGAUAAAUGAAAACAAUAUAUUGAAUCAGUUGGUAUAUACUAUUUAUAUAUAAUAUAUAUAGAGAUACAUACUAAACAUUCAUAUACACAUGAUUAUAUACCGCAC